rnacentral:lncRNA from 1 species
GACGUCUCCAGGCUGCUCCUGGAGUUCGAGCCCUUGCCGUCCGGAGGGAACGAGACCCUGGUGCUGCUGAACCGCAGCCAGACGCCGGACCCGCGCUACCGCGCGCGCGUCUCCAUGGGCAGCCGGCACUGGAGUCUGCACGCCGUGACGGUCGGAGACCAGGGGGUCUACAUCGUGCGCGACUGGGAGGGCAGAGAGCUGGACAGGGUGUGUCUGGUGCUGAGAGAGCCCACCCGCUACGCCGACCUGCCCUGGGGGGGCACCCUGAAGAUGGACCUGGCGCCGGGGGGCGCGGCCGCCAGCCUGCUCUUCACCCCCGACGGCGAGCGGGCCGCCCGCGUGCUGGUGCGCGACGGGGAGGUGGCCGACCUGCGCUACGGCCGGCGCCUCCUGCUGGAGGGAGGGCUGUGGGCCCUGCGGGAGCUAAAGCCGGCCGACGGCGGGCUCUACCAGAUCGCCGACCCGCAGGGCCGGGCCGUCGCCAGCAUCUACGCCAGGGUGCAAGCCUAUAAGCUCCCUCCUCUGUACGUGGCCAUCCUGUCGCUGCUGGGGGUGGUGGCCUUGCUGCUCUGCGUGUGCCUGGUGUCCUGCCUCUUCAGGAUCCGCCGCAGGGAGCUGAAGGCCAAGGCCAUCGCCAGGAUCGCCCAGGAGGCCGGCAAGGGCGACGGAGAGGCGUUCCGCCAGGUGAGGGCCGACCCCUGACCCCCGACCCCUGACCCCUGACCCCCGACCCCCAAGCUCUGGCUGACGCGUGUGCGCUCUGCGGUCGCCCCAGGUCGUCCAGGAGGUGUACACCCGGUUCUC